rnacentral:rRNA from 1 species
GGGGAAUAUUGGACAAUGGGCGAAAGCCUGAUCCAGCCAUGCCGCGUGAGUGAUGAAGGCCUUAGGGUUGUAAAGCUCUUUCAGUAGGGAAGAUAAUGACGGUACCUACAGAAGAAGCCCCGGCUAACUUCGUGCCAGCAGCCGCGGUAAUACGAAGGGGGCUAGCGUUGUUCGGAUUUACUGGGCGUAAAGCGCACGUAGGCGGAUUGGUCAGUUAGGGGUGAAAUCCCAGAGCUCAACUCUGGAACUGCCCUUAAUACUGCCAGUCUAGAGUCCGGAAGAGGUGAGUGGAACUCCUAGUGUAGAGGUGGAAUUCGUAGAUAUUAGGAAGAACACCAGUGGCGAAGGCGGCUCACUGGUCCGGUACUGACGCUGAGGUGCGAAAGCGUGGGGAGCAAAC